rnacentral:piRNA from 1 species
AAUUGAAUUUUGGGGAGUCUAUG